CAUUGAAACACCAGUUCUCAUACAAUCACCAAAGUUAAGCAAUAUUAAGCCUAGUCAGUACCUAGAUGGGUGGCCGCUUGGGAAUGCCAGUUGCUGUGA